rnacentral:tRNA from 1 species
GCGGGCGUCGUAUAGCGGCUAUUAUGCGUCCUUGCCAAGGACGAGAUGAGGGUCCGACUCCCUUCGCCCGCU